GGUGGGGAGCGCAAGAUUUCUAACAUCCACCAGCUCCGUGAUGUCGUCACGGAGGAGUGGAAGAGGACUCCAGUAGCAACCUGUGAAGCUCUGGUGAACUCCAUGCCCAUGAGGGUUAAGGCAGUGCUGGAAAAUAAUGGUGGCCACAGAAAAUAUUGACACUUGGGGCCAAUUUGGACAUUUCCACUUAGGGGUGUACUCACUUUUGUUGCCAACAGUUUAGACAUUAAUGGCUGUUUGUUGAGUUAUUUUGAGG